GAUGAACGCUGGCGGCGUGCCUAAUACAUGCAAGUCGAGCGAACGGACGAGAAGCUUGCUUCUCUGAUGUUAGCGGCGGACGGGUGAGUAACACGUGGAUAACCUACCUAUAAGACUGGGGUAACUUCGGGAAACCGGAGCUAAUACCGGAUAAUAUUUUGAACCGCAUGGUUCAAAAGUGAAAGACGGUCUUGCUGUCACUUAUAGAUGGAUCCGCGCUGCAUUAGCUAGUUGGUAAGGUAACGGCUUACCAAGGCAACGAUGCAUAGCCGACCUGAGAGGGUGAUCGGCCACACUGGAACUGAGACACGGUCCAGACUCCUACGGGAGGCAGCAGUAGGGAAUCUUCCGCAAUGGGCGAAAGCCUGACGGAGCAACGCAGCGUGAGUGAUGAAGGUCUUCGGAUCGUAAAACUCUGUUAUUAGGGAAGAACAUAUGUGUAAGUAACUGUGCACAUCUUGAGGGUACCUAAUCAGAAAGCCACGGCUAACUACGUG
rnacentral:rRNA from 1 species